CUUGUCUUUUGUUUAAAAUGUUAAAUUAAGAAGCAUUUGUGCGGGGUCGAAAUUUCUUUAAAGGCAAAGGAAAAGUUGAGCUUUCGAUCGCCAUUUCCUGCAAUUUGCAGUAAUUGGGUGGCAAGUUGGCACAUUGCGUUUUAUUUAGUAUUUCUUUAUGCAAAAUAAUACCCGAAGAGAAGUAAUGAUGUUUUGUUGAGUGCAAUAAUAACAACGACUGUUCUUUUGCCGACAAUAUGGCAUCGAAGCUUUCUUUCCAGACGUUGUAAUUUGAGAUUUCGGUAGCUUCGCCUAGUCCCAAUGGCCAGAUGCCAUUACUGACCCAUCGCCGGGGCAGCUGAUUCAUGUAAAAAACCAUCGAUUAAUAGUCCUCGGAUAAUUAGGGUCUGCGGUCCAUCAAUCAUCGGGCAAAAAAAUAAACACCAGGUGGCGCUUCCUCAACAAUCGGCCUAUUGGUACUACAAGUGUCGUUUUACACUCGUGGGAAUGCGAAUUCUUCGAAGCACCAUAUGGCCAAUGCGCCUCUUCGAAGCAUUCUUCAAUCAAUUGCGUAAUUGGCCCGCGAUUAGCAAAAUUAUUCACGUCGCAUCCUGUCGUUAAAACAGCGAUGACCACUGUGCUAAAUUCGGUCGGUCCAAACAAGUAACAUCCAGUCGUUGACCCGCGGACUCGUGGCCAAGAAUACGUGAGCCAGGUAGGCUUGUUCGGGUCGACGCCAUGCUAAGAGCGUCACGUGGUGCCAACGCACCAAUGGCGCGACCAGGAUUCGGCCGCCACGCCCAAAUUCACCCACGUGAUACAUCACACGCAGCCACCCUCGAUCGCGGCAGUGCUGACACCUGUGUCACGAAGCAGUGAGAGGGUGGUUUUGGCGAUUUUUCCCAAAAUUCACAUUUCUAAGCGGAUUCGAUGCGAAACGGGCAAUGGACGGUGACGCAGUUUUUACGAUUCCAGCGGUUUUAUGCUUCAUCUAGGAUUCAAAUUGCUGCAAAUGGCGAAUUGCAACAUAAAUAAAUAAAUGCGAUUGUUAACACGAGUUUUAUUCAAGAACCCGUUUCGCAACCGUUCAUGAAAUUUUCGAAUUUCUGUGAAAUAUUCCUGCAAAUCCUAACGAUUGCGCCAAUUAGUUUUUUAUUUAUGAACAAAAAGCAAGUUUAGUCGAAUAAUUCAGUUUUAAAUUGAGCAAAGCUUGUUUGGCAAGCGGAAAAGGGGAACCCUCUCGUUGACUAGCGCAAACCAGGUUUCGCACCGGUACUGGCCAUUGAAGGGUCAUGGUCCUGCGUAUCCCGACCUUGGCAACGAUUUAACUGAAACCGAUCUAGUGGUGUACGGGAAUAACAAUCCAGCAUCACUUUCCACGGCCCGCUACGCAUGAAGAUGAAUAACGAGACCGAAUAGCUGUACUCAGUUACACAAAACGAAACCGAAAUUAUUUAUAUGAUGACGCCUUUAGCUGCUUGACCCAGGUCAAGUGCUAUUAGAAUUUUCGGAAAUUUGGGGGCCCAUUUAAGGGAAAGUUUAUUGCGGGGUUUUAUGGCGGUUAGGACUUCCAAGAAGGUUGUGCAAUUCGGGGGCGAAAUUGAAAGUGAGGGUUGAGUACCUGGCACAGGAAACGCUUUGAAAUUUUUUCCCAUGCCAGUGAUUGAAGGGACCGUGGAUAAUAUUUGCUUGAAAAGAUGUUUAAAAUGGUUAAAUAUUGGUCUCUCGGGUGUUUUUUAACGACAAAUAUUGGCUCAAAGGAGCAUCCGAGGAGGGUACCGGAAACCGGAAAUCAGAAAAAAUUGGCGUUUUUGAAAUUUUGCUAGUUUAAGUGGCUUUUGCCGGUUUGUGCGCUGCAGAAUGUGGGGAGAGAGGUGUUUUGGGAUCACGUCGAGCGAGUUUUACGGCUUUGGAUCAUAAUAAUAGACAAGUUGUUUGUCCACGGUUGGCGAACUGGCCAUGGCGUAGCAAAUGA